rnacentral:rRNA from 1 species
AUAUGCUUGUCUCAAAGAUUAAGCCAUGCAUGUCUAAGUAUAAGCAAUUGUACGGCGAAACUGCGAAUGGCUCAUUAUAUAAGUUAUCGUUUAUUUGAUAGUACCUUACUACAUGGAUAACCGUGGUAAUUCUAGAGCUAAUACAUGCUGAAAAUCCCGACUCCGGAAGGGAUGUAUUUAUUAGAUUAAAAACCAAUGCCCUCUGGGCUCCCUGGUGAUUCAUGAUAACUGCUCGAAUCGCAUGGCCUUGCGCCGGCGAUGGUUCAUUCAAAUUUCUUCCCUAUCAACUUUCGAUGUUUGGGUAGUGGCCAAACAUGGUGGCAACGGGUAACGGAGGGUUAGGGCUCGACCCCGGAGAAGGAGCCUGAGAAACGGCUACUACAUCCAAGGAAGGCAGCAGGCGCGCAAAUUACCCAAUCCCGACCCGGGGAGGUAGUGACAAUAAAUACCGAUACAGGGCUCUUUUGGGUCUUGUAAUUGGAAUGAGUACAAUUUAAAUCCCUUAACGAGGAACAAUUGGAGGGCAAGUCUGGUGCCAGCAGCCGCGGUAAUUCCAGCUCCAAUAGCGUAUAUUAAAGUUGUUGUGGUUAAAAAGCUCGUAGUUGAACCUUGGGCCUGGCUGGCCGGUCCGCCUCACCGCGUGCACUGGUCCGGCCGGGCCUUUCCCUCUGUGGAACCCCAUGCCCUUCGCUGGGCGUGGCGGGGAAACAGGACGUUUACUUUGAAAAAAUUAGAGUGCUCCAGGCAGGCCUAUGCUCGAAUACAUUAGCAUGGAAUAAUGAAAUAGGACGCGCGGUUCUAUUUUGUUGGUUUCUAGGACCGCCGUAAUGAUCAAUAGGGACAGUCGGGGGCAUCAGUAUUCAAUUGUCAGAGGUGAAAUUCUUGGAUUUAUUGAAGACUAACUACUGCGAAAGCAUUUGCCAAGGAUGUUUUCAUUAAUCAGGAACGAAAGUUAGGGGAUCGAAGACGAUCAGAUACCGUCGUAGUCUUAACCAUAAACUAUGCCGACUAGGGAUCGGGCGAUGUUAUUUCUUGACUCGCUCGGCACCUUACGAGAAAUCAAAGUGCUUGGGCUCCAGGGGGAGUAUGGUCGCAAGGCUGAAACUUAAAGAAAUUGACGGAAGGGCACCACCAGGGGUGGAGCCUGCGGCUUAAUUUGACUCAACACGGGGAAACUCACCAGGUCCAGACACGAUGAGGAUUGACAGAUUGAGAGCUCUUUCUUGAUUUUGUGGGUGGUGGUGCAUGGCCGUUCUUAGUUGGUGGAGUGAUUUGUCUGCUUAAUUGCGAUAACGAACGAGACCUUAACCUGCUAAAUAGCCCGCGCUGCUCCGGCAGCGCGCCGGCUUCUUAGAGGGACUAUCGGCUCAAGCCGAUGGAAGUUUGAGGCAAUAACAGGUUGACCUACACAGGCCUGUAACAGUGGGCCUCUCCGAAAAAGAUAACCGCUAGUCCAGAAGCUUUGCUCUCGUGGGGGAAGUCCCCCGUUAUCGGGCGAGAGGGCGGCGCCGGCGCCGCCUGCUUCGGGCAACACCACCUGGUACAGGGAACGCCCAACGGGCCGAUCCUGUGGCGAGCCUGGGUCACGCCAGGCCGUCGCAACGCGCGCUAAGGGGUGGGCAGGGGGGCCUCCGGGCCUCCCAGCUUAAGGUACGUGCUAAUCCCGUGGGAAAAAAACCAUGCCGCUACACGGAGCCCCGAUAAGGCGAAGUGUGGCGGGGCGUGCCGCGCCGCGAGGCCCGGCACGCCGGUGUGGGUGGCUCGCAUCGUCGCUGUGGGCUCCGGGGCGUCUCCCGGGGCCGGUUUUCCGCAGCGUCUGCGAUGUGAGCCGCCCGGAUAUGCUGUGAUGCCCUUAGAUGUUCUGGGCCGCACGCGCGCUACACUGACGGAGCCAGCGAGUACUCCCUUGGCCGGAAGGCCCGGGUAAUCUUGUUAAACUCCGUCGUGCUGGGGAUAGAGCAUUGCAAUUAUUGCUCUUCAACGAGGAAUCCCUAGUAAGCGCAAGUCAUCAGCUUGCGUUGAUUACGUCCCUGCCCUUUGUACACACCGCCCGUCGCUACUACCGAUUGAAUGGCUCAGUGAGGCGUCCGGACUGGCCCAGAGGGGCGGGCAACCGCCGCUCAG